GUGGAUGUGCCGGAGUGGUUAUCGGGCAUGACUAGAAAUCAUGUGGGUUCUACCCGCGCAGGUUCGAAUCCUGCCAUUCACG
rnacentral:tRNA from 1 species